AAAAAAAACCCAUAUAUUUACAUACAUGUAAUUUAAAUAAUUUUUAUUUUUAAUAUAUUUUAUAUGUUUUUAGUUUAAUAUAAUAAUUUUUAUAAAAUAUGUCAAAAUAUUAAUAUACACAUUUUAAGAGUUUUAAAUAAUAUAUACACGUGUAACUAACUAGGUCACACCAUCGGCUGAUCUUGGUGAGCAAGUAAAUAAUUAAGCCCACAAAAAUUAUAACCUACGAAAAUAACUCCAAUUAAAAAAAACUAUAAAUAUCAGAUUAUAUAUUAAUUUACUUGCUUAUAUACAUAGAUCACUUACAUAUUAAUUAUAAACUUAUAUAUAAUGUAGCCCUAGCUAUAUAUCCUAAUUAAUUUAUACACAUUUUUUCGUGCAAGAAAUUAACCAAAAGAACGAAUAUAAAAAAACACAAACCCCUUAACUCAUUCUCUCUAUGACUCUUUACAGUAUACAUACAUACACAUAUAUAUACUGUACGUACGUAUACAGAAGAAUAUAUAUAAGAUAUGAAGCACAGCAUGAUUUUGGUGUCACUAUUAUUGGUGGUGGUGAUGGUGUUGAACUUGAGCCAAGCCAAGGGGAGUCGAUUAUUACCGGCCGAUUGCUCCAUUGCCAGUAAUAAUCAUCACCGCCUCCGUCUCAGACGGCGGCCAUUUAUGUACGAGAAGAUCAGUAGGAAGAAGAUGAUGAUGAUGAGCAGAUGGUUUCAACAGCUAGAGUCAGGACCAAGUCCUAGAGGCCCUGGUCACUAAUAAUAUCCGUUGUAUCGGCGGGCGCCACCCGAGUGUUGCCGGAGGAUUUUGGUGGUGGAAGUCAUCUUCAGAUGAGGUCAUCUACUAGGCAAAGUUUAUUGGCAUUUUGGCUCCAAAGACUAUCCUCUGGACCAAGUCCCAGUGGCCCUGGUCACUGAUGAUAUUUACACUCAUGUUUUUUUUUUUUAAUCAAUAAUCAAUCUAUUCAUUUAUUUAUUUAUUUUUCUCUAAAGAGAACAGAAUAUAAAAUAUUCUUUUAUUCAAAUUGUUGUAAGGUUUGGUUUUCAUGGAUUCAUUUAUUAAUUUUUGGACUUGAAAUGCAAUAAAACUGUCCCUAUUUAUUUAUCUAUAUUUUUGUCUUUGUAAAUAAUUUGUUUUAUUUGUGUAAAAUAUUUGAUCUUUUAACAUUCUGAUAACAGUUGUAAUCUUAUAUCGAUUUACUUUAAUAUACACUUAUGGUUUCUCUCUCUAUUCUCUAGUUUGAAAAUGAUUAAUAAUCUUGAUGAUCUUCUGGCCUCUUAGCUGUAUAUCUGUUCAGAAGAAAUAUGAUGUUUUCAUUAAUUUUCAAAGAAAUCUGUGUAGACUGUAGUUGUCUUCACUCAAAAUUAUGCAAGUUCAAGGUGGUAGGAGUAGGAUGAAUGGAAAAGAGGAAUCUGAAUGUUUUGCCUGUUUUUGUAAGUUAUGAAAUUAUGAAACUGCAUUUCUGGAAAAUGAAGAGCAGUUUCCUCAACAUAAGAAUAAGAUAAAGAAAAUGGCAGCUAAUCUAAUCAUUCUGGAUGAGAUACAUACAAGUACAGGUUCUCUCUCUGUCUCUACCUUUACUGUUAUUUUUACUAGUUUCAAUAUAGAGGGAAAAUGGGCAAGGAGAACUACUCUGAAUUUGAUAGGCUUCGAGAUGCUAAGUCGGGAGUUGAGAAGUGGCUGGACAAGCUUCGAGAUGCUGUGGAAGAUGCAGAGGAUCUCUUGGAGGAAUAUAAGUAUGAUGCGCUCAAACUCAAAGGAGAAAAAUAGCCAAAACCGAACUCAGCUGUUCAAUAAAGAAAGAAAGAAAUGAAGAAGAUUCAAUUCUAGAGCAGAUGGAUACUUUUAAAAAUGAUAAGUUCAUGCAAACAAGUGCUGAAAAAAAAUCCCAUUAAAGAGGCCACCUUCAACAUUUUCCAUUAUUAAUUCUGAAUUGUUCUGUAGGGAUGAUGGAAAGGAAAUUGUGAAAGAGAAGUUGCUGUUAAAUGUAGCAGAUGGUGAAAAAAUAUGUUUGAUUCCAAUUAUGGGCUUAGGAGGCAUCAUGGCUUUAUGUCUCAAAUGAAUUUGAUGUUUAGAAAGUAACGAAAACAAUUCUUGUAGCAGUAACUAGAAAGAUAAUUGUUACAACAAGAAGUGAUAAUUAGCAUCAAUUGUGAGAACGAUUGAAGCUUGUUUUUUAAGUUAAAUUGUCAAAAUUGUAUGCGGCAGUAAAGAAUUUAUUACAACAAA